GAUGAACGCUGGCGGCGUGCCUAAUACAUGCAAGUAGAACGCUGAAGGAGCAGCUUGCUCUUUCCGUAUGAGUGGCGAACGGGUGAGUAACGCGUAGGUAACCUGCCAGGAAGCGGGGGAUAACCUUGGGAAACGAGAGCUAAUACGGCAUAACAGUAGAUAUUGCUUGAAAUUUGGUUAGAAGGGUCGAUUGCUCCACAACCAGCGGGACCUGCGGUGUAUUGGCUAGUUGGUGAGGUAACGGCUCACCAAGGCGACGAUACAUAGCCGACCUGAGAGGGUGGUCGGCCAGACUGGGACUGAGACACGGCCCAGACUACUACGGGAGGCAGCAGUAGGGAAUCUUCGGCAAUGGACGGAAGUCUGACCGAGCAACGCCGCGUGAGUGAAGAAGGUUUUCGGAUCGUAAAGCUCUGUUGUAAGAGAAGAACGAGUGUGAGAGUGGAAAGUUCACACUGUGACGGUAUCUUAACAGAAAGGGACGGCUAACUACGUG
rnacentral:rRNA from 1 species